CCUACGGGGGUCAGCAGUGGGGAAUUUUGCGCAAUGCUCGUAAGAGUGACGCCGCGACGCCGCGUGAAUGACGAAGGCCUUCGGGUCGUAUAGUUCUUUCGACAGGGGAGAAAAUGCUUAUAAGUAACUGUGUAUGUAUUGACUGUACCUGUAUAUGCAGCCCCGGCUACCUCCAUGCCAGCAGCCGCGGUAAUACGGAGGGGGCGAGCGUUGUAUGAAGUGAAUGGGCUUAAAGAGCACGUAGUCGGUGUUGUACGUCAUUAGUCAAAGACUAGAGCUCAACUUUAGUAAGGCUAGUGAAACGAUAAGACUAGAGUAUCAGAGAGGAUUGCAGAAUUCCUGGUGUAGCGGUGAAAUGCGUAGAUAUCAGGAGGAAUACCGUUAGCGAAGGCGGCAAUCUG
rnacentral:rRNA from 1 species